UAUUACCCCUUCAUUCUGUCAAACAGUGAAGAAACACCGAUUGUUAUUGUGAAUAGAUUGUUGAAGUCUAUCUUUGACAGAUGUAUCCUACAAACCAGCAUCCGAUCAGCUACAGAUAGCAGAGGGAUAAGGUUGUUGGAGUCUAUCUUUGGUAGAUGUAUCCUACAAACUAGCAUCCGAUCAGCUACAGACAGCAGAGGGAUAAGUUAGUUGCGAUUUCAUGGAAGUGAUGGAACAUAUGGACACGAGCAAUGGUCCAUCAUAUGGUCCUCUGAUGGACCUGGGAAGCGCUUUAUUUCAUGGUUUGGGGCGUCAAGAAUUUUGGAAGAAUCACAAGGUUGUCUUCAUGGUUUGGGACCCGAAUAUUUUUUGAAGGAUCACAAGACCAGGUCGCUGCUUGCGUAAUCAACUACCGGUACUUCCAUAGCAUGCAUGCCAAGUACUAAACUCUUACUAAGAAGCUGCAAACAAUUUUGUGGGACUCUACAAACAACUUUUCAACAAGAACCACACCAGUAAAAGAUAAGUCCAAUUGAUCAUGUAUAAGAACUGUAUAAUGUGGUUGAAAUGACACCAUGCAUGGACGAGCAGAAUAAAUUGCUCCAAAAAUUUAUGAUUGCUUACAUAAAGAUAUAAUCAUAGGUUAAUUACAGGUGUAGACUAUUGCAUCUAUCGUCUUUC